UACAGAGGGGGCAAGCGUUGUUCGGAAUUACUGGGCGUAAAGGGCGCGUAGGCGGCCUGUUAAGUCGAACGUGAAAUCCCCGGGCUCAACCCGGGAACUGCGUCCGAUACUGGCAGGCUUGAAUCCGGGAGAGGGAUGUGGAAUUCCCGGUGUAGCGGUGAAAUGCGCAGAUAUCGGGAGGAACACCGGUGGCGAAGGCGGUUCUCUGGGCCUGUACUGACGCUGAGGAGCGAAAGCGUGGGGAGCGAACAGG
rnacentral:rRNA from 1 species